rnacentral:tRNA from 2 species
CGGGGCGUAGCGCAGACUGGUAGCGCACUCGCUUGGGGUGCGAGAGGUCGUGGGUUCAAAUCCCGCCGCCCCGACCA